AACGAACGCUGGCGGCAGGCUUAACACAUGCAAGUCGAACGCCCCGCAAGGGGAGUGGCAGACGGGUGAGUAACGCGUGGGAACGUGCCCUUCGCUUCGGAAUAGCCCCGGGAAACUGGGAGUAAUACCGGAUACGCCGUAUUGGGAAAGAUUUAUCGGCGAAGGAUCGGCCCGCGUUAGAUUGGCUAGUUGGCGGGGUAAUGGACCACCAAGGCUACGACCUAUAGCUGGUCUGAGAGGAUGAUCAGCCACACUGGGACUGAGACACGGCCCAGACUCCUACGGGAGGCAGCAGUGGGGAAUCUUGGACAAUGGGCGCAAGCCUGAUCCAGCCAUGCCGCGUGAGUGAAGAAGGCCUUAGGGUUGUAAAACUCUUUCGCCGGAGAAGAUAAUGACGGUAUCCGGAGAAGAAGCCCCGGCUAACUUCGUGCCAGCCGCCGCAGUAAGAC
rnacentral:rRNA from 1 species